rfam:Echinostoma caproni strain Egypt genome assembly, scaffold: ECPE_scaffold0001268
GGCCUCGUAGCUCAGCUGGUAGAGUGUGCGAGUACAAAGUGUAGGUGGCGUCCAUGCGUGGGUUCGAAUCCCACCGAGGCUA